CUUUUUGUUGUUGUUGUUGCUAUUUCUUGGGCCGCUCCCGCGGCAUAUGGAGGUUCCCAGGCUAGGGGUCCAAUCGGAGCUAUAGGCACCGGCCUACGCCAGAGGCACAGCAACGCGGGAUCUGAGCCGCGUCUGCAACCUACACCACAGCUCAGGGCAACGCCGGAUCGUAAACCCACUGAGCAAGGGCAGGGACCGAACCUACAACCUCAUGGUUCCUAGUCGGAUUCGUUAACCACUGCGCCACGACGGGAACUCCUAUUUUUAAUUUUUUGAGGAGCCUUCUCACUGUUUUCCAUAGUGGCUGCACCAUUUUGAUUUUCUACCAACAGUGUGGAAGGGUUCUAAUUUCUCUACAUCCUCAAAAUACUUUCUUUUUUGGUUGUUUUUUGAUAAUAUCUACCACAACAGGUAUGCAGUGAUAUUUCACUGUCAUUUUGGUUUACCUUUCCCUGAUGAUUCAUGAUACUGAACACCUUUUCAUAUACCUGUUGGCCAUUUGUAUGACUUUGGAGAAAUGUUUAUUCAGGCCCUAUGUCCUUCUUAAAAAAUUAGUUUUUUUUUUUUUGGCUGAGUUGUAGGAGUUUAUGAUAUAUUUUGGAGAUUAACUUCUUCUCAAAUAUAUGAGUUGUACACAUUUUCUCCCAUUCUGUAAGUUGUCUUUCCACUCUGUUUAUUCUUCUUUUGCUAUGCAGAAGCUCUUUAGUUUUAGUCCCAUUUGUUUAUUUUUGUUUUUGCUGCCUAUGUUUUUGGUGUCAUAUAAAUGAUCUCAAUGUCAAGAUCAAUGUAAGAAGCUUUCCUAGGUUUUCCUCUAAGAGUUUUAUAGUUUCAGGUCUUAUUCCAUUUUGAGUUUAUUAUUGUGUAUAGUGUGAGGUAAGGGUCCAAUUUUAUUCAUCUGUCUGUAGAUAUCCAAUUUUCCCAGUAAAGUUUGUUGAACUGACUUUCAUUUCACCAUAGGGUAUUCUUGGAACCCAUGGUACAUUUGAUUUUUAAAGUUAGAGAUCUCUUCAACUCCAGGAUGAAUGCUGUCAUUCACAUACUGACAGAAUAUUGGCAAGCAUUGCAAGUCUUUGGCGACUUGCACUAAACAAUUUUGAAACUUUUUCAGAAGUCUGAUUCCCCCUCACUUCUUUUCAUCCACAAACAUUCAGACCCUUCACAUCUGUAUUAUAACAGUGUAAACAUUCAUUUGCAUGCAUAAAUACUAGCACCUGGAGAAUUUUAAGCUUUUCACCUUCACCCUUUUUUUUGUAUAAAAGAAUUAAAGAAAGGAGAGGUUAAAUCAGUGUCUUAAUUUUACCCAAAUAAUUGAUUCUAAUUGGGAAACUGGGCUAAUUGGGAAAAUGUAUACUUUCUUAACUUCUCUCUCAUUUCCACCCUUUUAUUCUCAAAUAAAGUAGGUUUAAGCCCUUACAAAAACACCUUCACAUGCACUGGUGGCUUCUGAGGGAAGAACAAGAUGAAAUUUGGUUCCAUUUAAUACAUUUUUGAAUGGGUACUCUGCUAUAGACCCUGGGCUUUGACUUUGGGCACAAAGAAGGUCUCUAUCCUUAAGGAAUUCAUAGUCUAUUAGUAAAACCAGAACCAUAAACAGCUACUUUAAACACAGCAUAUAGGUCAUUAAUUCAGUCACCUUAAAUUUAUGAGUGACUAUUAUAUGCUCUGGACCUUUAUUCUAGGCCUUGGGAAUACCAUGGUAAAUCUCUCUCUCUCUCUUUCUCUCUCUCUCUCUCUCUAUAUAUAUAUAUAUAUAUAUAUGUAUGUAUAUGUGUAUGUGUAUAUAUAUAUGUGUGUGUGUGUUCACUUUAUAUAUACAUUCAUUCUCUAGCUUGUGGAGAUUCAGAUUAGGAAAAAAACAAUUCCAAGUGAGAAAAUGUUUUGAAAUGACAUAAUAGGUAUUAUGGGUACAGUUGUUAGAUUUGGCAAGUGCAAAUACAAAGCUUCCAAUUAACUUUGAAUUCAGGUAGCAUUUUUAGUGUACAUAUGUCCCAUGCAGUUCUGCAUUUUGUAAGUGGGGUGUCUAACCUGGUUUGAGAGAGUCAGAAGGCUAAAAACACAUUGACUAGGUAAAGGUCAGAUCUAGGUUGAUUAGAUGUUAUUGACUUAGAACUAUAAAACGGUCAGUGUUAGUGAUAUGCCUGGUUGUGAUGGGAGAUGAGAAAUUUUUCAGAAAGGAUUCCAGGUGGCUAGAAUGUUGAGUUUUCCAAGUGUUAAUGCCUACAUCGCACACCUUGGUCCCUUCACACAACAUAUUUACUGUACUUAAGUAUAAUUAUCAUAUUUAUAAAUUAAGGUAUGUAUUUGUUAAUGACACAUUAAAUAUUGAGAUCUGUUAGCAGGCUUAAUAACUAUUAGAAUUUUAAAUCAUGAUGAACAGGAAUGAAAACUAUAUGAUUUAUAUAUGAUAUAUAUUGAAUGAUUUUAUAUAUAUUAUUAUGGUAAUAUAAAAGUUUCAUGAUUUCUAUUGUUGAUAAAUAUAGAGCUACUGCUAACUACUAUUGUUUGCAUACAUGUAUUAUUGAAGAAGAUGCUAAAUAUUAGGAUAAUGAAAAGAGAAGUGUAAUCUUUUCUUUAUCCAAGAU
rnacentral:lncRNA from 1 species